GCGCCUCCCCCCCGCUCCCUCCCCGCUCGUGACGUCGGCGCGUCCCGCGGCGGCGGCAGGUGGCGGAGCGGCGCGCGCCGGGCCCGGCCCGACCCGACCCUGCGGUAUAAGCUCGACAUUUUUCUCAAAGAAGACCUGGGGUCACUGUUGGAUGGUAGCUCAGGUAGGAGGUCAGCCACUUUGGAGUCAUAAAGCUGCAUGGAAGAGGCUGGCACAACUUCUCCCAGCAAGCGUCCCUGGAGACUUCCAAGGGAACAAAGAGCAGCCAGACACCGCCUGAGCCUCAGCGUGGGAGGAGCUGCUGGCCAGCUGCUGAUGCCAGUGUGCAGAGAAGCUGAAACGCUGCAGUGUACCGUUGGGCAGGACAGACAAGGAAUGAGCCAGCCUUGGGAAAGAGGACCUGCCAUCCUAGCUGGAGCCAUCUGAAGAGAGGACAUCUUAGUCUCGUGGCAUGCGUCAGUAGAAAUUACUCUGAGAAACAUGCGUUCAUAAGAUGUAUAAAGCAGUGGAGGCUUUUACUGUAACACGAGGGAUUUUCUCUUGAGGUAAUGUGUUUUACUAGAAAUAUGUCUAAUACUGGAACAGGCUGUCCAGGGAGGUUGUGAUACCACCAUCCUUGCAGGUUUCAAAAAAGUCAGUUAGACAAAGCCAUGACUGAUCAGAUCUGAUACUGGUGGUAGUGCCAUGUGGAGCUGGAAUCUGGGCUCCUGUGACCUCCAAUGGUCCCUUCUGUCCCACCCUUCUGUGAUGCCUUUGGACGAACUAUUCUCUGCUGUUUGUGCAAAGAGGACUAGUUAUACUGAAAGGCUAUUUUGCUGAGUGUCAGCCCCGUGCUGCCAAAUUCCUUGGAGAUUUAAAAUGAAGAAGGCACAUUUUUAGGCCCCAUUCCCCCAAAGCCCACUCUUCUCCCUCGUUUCGUAUCUAUUGGUUUGUUUUGAUGAGAAUAAAAGAGAACAUAAAAGGAAAAUAACCA
rnacentral:lncRNA from 1 species